GUGGCGCACGGGUGCGUAACGCGUGGGAACCUGCCUUUAGGUUCGGAAUAACAGUUAGAAAUGACUGCUAAUACCGGAUAAUGUCUUCGGACCAAAGAUUUAUCGCCUUUAGAUGGGCCCGCGUUAGAUUAGAUAGUUGGUGGGGUAAUGGCCUACCAAGUCGACGAUCUAUAGCUGGUCUGAGAGGAUGAUCAGCCACACUGGGACUGAGACACGGCCCAGACUCCUACGGGAGGCAGCAGUGGGGAAUAUUGGACAAUGGGCGAAAGCCUGAUCCAGCAAUGCCGCGUGAGUGAUGAAGGCCUUAGGGUUGUAAAGCUCUUUUACCAGGGAUGAUAAUGACAGUACCUGGAGAAUAAGCUCCGGCUAACUCCGUGCCAGCAGCCGCGGUAAUACGGAGGGAGCUAGCGUUGUUCGGAAUUACUGGGCGUAAAGCGCACGUAGGCGGCUUUUCAAGUCAGGGGUGAAAUCCCGGGGCUCAACCCCGGAACUGCCCUUGAAACUGGAUGGCUAGAAUACUGGAGAGGUGAGUGGAAUUCCGAGUGUAGAGGUGAAAUUCGUAGAUAUUCGGAAGAACACCAGUGGCGAAGGCGACUCAC
rnacentral:rRNA from 1 species